CACGCAGGCGGUCUGUCAAGUCGGAUGUGAAAUCCCCGGGCUCAACCUGGGAACUGCAUCCGAAACUGGCAGGCUAGAGUCUUGUAGAGGGGGGUAGAAUUCCAGGUGUAGCGGUGAAAUGCGUAGAGAUCUGGAGGAAUACCGGUGGCGAAGGCGGCCCCCUGGACAAAGACUGACGCUCAGGUGCGAAAGCGUGGGGAGCAAACA
rnacentral:rRNA from 2 species